UGGGGAAUAUUGGACAAUGGGCGAAAGCCUGAUCCAGCCAUGCCGCGUGUGUGAAGAAGGUCUUCGGAUUGUAAAGCACUUUAAGUUGGGAGGAAGGGUUGUAAAUUAAUACUUUGCUGUUUUGACGUUACCGACAGAAUAAGCACCGUUCUAACUCAGUGCCAGCAGCCGCGGUAAUGAA
rnacentral:rRNA from 1 species